GAGCUCAGGAUCAGCUCAUAUCCUUCUUAUAGUUAUGACUCCUGCAUCCUGGGCUGUGCUGGCAGAGGAGGAUCAGCUCUUUCUGGCAUCCAUUUCCUUGCUCUUUGUGCUGGAGGCAGUGUGUGAGGAUGCCAGGAAGGCUUUGAACCAGCCCAUGGUGUCCUGUGACCUGGUCAGGCGCGAUGGAUGCAGGAUGUGCCUGUUCUAAUGCUGAAGAUGAACUGUAGGGACAAGAUCAAGGCACAGGAGGAAGAGAGAAGGGCCAGAGGGGAGUGUGAGCAGCUAUUUCCUCGUUCCUUAAGGGAAAUGCUAAACAGGGACACAAGAAGCUCUAUACCCAAAUGUGCAGGAGGAAGAAGCUCAUACACAGCUGGGAAGAGCGUAUGAACCUCAGGAUGUUGCUCCCAGCAUCCUGCUCCUGAGACCACUGAGACAGUACCUUCACGUGAUGCUGAGGUUGGUUACACCAAGAGCUCACAGGGCAAUCUGACUCUGCAGUGUCCCAGAGAUACCAGCACCUCCAUAAUCAUGACUAGGGAGAGCUCUGCAUGUGCUGAGACCCUCUUUUAGCUGGCAGCGACAGGCCUGGAGGCAGGGACAGUCAUACCAACAUGUGCUUGUGUCCUGCCUCCACCAGCUAUGAGGAGGAGGAGGAGAUCCUUGUUUCUAGGUUGUGCUGAGACAUCGAUGGGAUCAUUGGCUUAAGGAGAUGGAAGCACUUGUUUUCUAUUCACAGUGUCUUUACUUUCCCAGGCCUGGCAGAGAGCAGGGAAGAGGCAUCUCCAAGCCUGAGUUCAGCUAAGGGGGAGCAGGGCUGUUACCCUGUGUGUGUGUGCAGGAUUGUUCUCACACCCCAUUUCCUUCAUAGACAGAAAAAAGAGUUAUCAGGAGCCUGCGCUUGCUUCCAGCUGAGAG